rnacentral:rRNA from 1 species
UACGUAGGGGGCGAGCGUUGUCCGGAUUCAUUGGGCGUAAAGCGCGCGCAGGCGGUGGCGUGAGCCCGGCGUGAAAGCCCCCCAGCUCAACUGGGGGAGGCCGUCGGAGACCGCGGCACUUGAGGCCGGUAGGGGAGAGCGGAAUUCCCGGUGUAGUGGUGGAAUGCGUAGAUAUCGGGGAGGAACACCAGUGGCGAAGGCGGUUGCCUGGGGCUUUGCUGGACGCU